GUCGAAGCUUGAUUAAAUAUUUAAAACUAAAAAAUGUUUAAUAAAAACGUCGUAUGGAUAAUCCAUAAUCCUGGUCAUAUUUCUAAAAUCUUCAACUCGCUACAGAUAGUAACGUUUCGAGCGAUAUGAAGGCCUUCGGGCAGCGACGUCUCGAGCGAUAUGAAGGCCUUGUGGCGAAUAUAUUGUAUUUGAAACAGUGUUCUUCAAAAAUACAAAUGAUAUUAAAACCAUGCACUCUUAUCGACAAAGUAAGGAUGCUUAGUUCGGUAAUUUUCUACCCUGAGAUUAAAACCUAUGAGCAUUUCGAAGACCACAUGCUUCGAAAUACGAGAACAUAUAGUAAACACGAAAUACGAGAUAUUAACUUACCGAAUGCAAAUUUUGGUUUCGCAACAAUGAACGCACAAAGACGAAUAACAUUGCUCGAUUUAACAUAUUCCCGCUCUGUAGUAUCUUGUAAAAAUAUGUUGUCUCUUGUUUCUAUAUGAUUAUCCUUUUCCUCUCUUUCAUUCUCACUUAGAAAAGACGCGGUUGUUUGCGUAUUAUUUGCCAUAAUUUUUGUUAACUUGUCAUGUUUUCUGGUUUUGAUAUUUCUGAG